AUGUGUCUUGACCAAAUUACGUGCCAGCAGUCGCGGUAAUACGUAAAAGACUAGUGUUAUUCAUCUUUAAUAGGUUUAAAGGGUACCUAGACGGUAAAUCAAGUCCGGGAAGGGUACUAAUUUUACUAGAGUUUAAUGUGAGGGGGCACUAAAGUACUGAUAAGUGUAGAGAUGAAAUUCUGUGAUACAAUAUAUGGCACUGGCAAAGGCGAAAGCAUCUCAUUAUGUAAUAACUGACGUUGAGGGACGAAGGCUAGGUGAAGCAAAAAGGAUUAGAUACCCAAGUAGUCUUAGCAGAAAAUUAUGAAUGUCAUAGGAUGGAAAGAUGGAUGGACAAACAACAAAUUUUUUUUCUAUAAAUGAAAGUGUAAGCAUUCCACCUCAAGAGUAAUUUGGCAACAUUGGAACUGAAAUCAUUAGACCGUUUCUGAAACAAGUAGUGAAGUAUGUUGUUUAAUUUGAUGGUCCGCAAAAAACCUUACCACAAUUUGAAUA
rnacentral:rRNA from 1 species